rnacentral:rRNA from 1 species
GAUGAACGCUGGCAGAAUGCUUAACACAUGCAAGUCAACUUGAAUUUGGGUUUUUAACUUAGGUUUUGGUGGCGGACGGGGGAGUAACGCGUAAAGAACUUGCCUCACAGCUAGGGACAACAUUUGAAAACGAAUGCUAAUACCUAAUAUUAUGAUAAUAGCUGCUCCUAUAAGGAUGAAAACUAUAAGCGCUGUGAGAGAGCUUUGCGUCCCAUUAGCUAGUUGGAGAGGUAACGGCUCACCAAGGCGAUGAUGGGUAGCCGGCCUGAGAGGGUGAUCGGCAAAAAGGGGCUUGAGACACGCCCAGAACCCUACGGGGAGGCAGAAGUGGGGAAUAUUGGACAAGGGACCGAGAGUCUGACAGAGACACUCUGUGUGCAAGAUGAAGUUUCUCGGAAUGUAAAGCGCUUUCAGUUGGGAAGAAACAAAUGACGGUAACAACAGAAGAAGCGACGGCUAAAUACGUG